CCAAUGACCCCUGUUUCUUCCCUACCCCUUAGAAAGAUUUUUUUUGUCACAACCCUAAACCUAAAGAGAUCCCACCAGCGGCGCCCCCCACCAAUCUCUAAGCUUCACUGCUGCUAAACAACACCCAAACCCACUAUAACUCCACCCCAAUCUCACUCAUGGUCCCCCCUUCUCUUUUCUCCUUCUUCCACGUCACACAUUCCGUACCAAGCUUUAUCAUUUUCACGUAUUUUUCUCUUCAUUUUUCUUUUUCUUAAUUUGUCUCUUUCAGGCGAGAAUAGAAAAAUGGGGUGCGUAGGAUCGAGUUACACUAUAUUUACUCCAUCCAUUUGUCUUAUCUCGUCUAUUGUAGGGAUUUUCGGAUUUGGUUUGUGGUCCCACGCGUUUUCUUGGUAAAGAAGAAGAAAAUUCGAGAGUGAGGUAUAUAUUUGGAGGUUUUUGGACAGAAGGAGGGGGGUUCAAGAAGAAAAUUAGUUUGAGAGAGAGGAAAAGCCAGGGUUCUUUCUUUGAGAUUCAUUUUCGGAUUUUCAAGUUUUUCUUUAUUUUAGAUUUCAGAAGAAAAAAAAACAAAAAAACGAAAAUACAUUCCUGUGUCUUCCUUUGAUUCCGAGAUUUAAUUUUAAGGAUGGAAUUUGAUUGAGGAGGAGUGCUUUCAAGCUCGUCACCGUUGUUGGCUGCCAUUCAGGGUUUAAAUCCAGCGGUUUCGGUUUGAAGUUUAUUGGUAUUUCUCGCUUCAACAAUUUUGACAUUAGUUUCGCUUGUAAUUGCAAUCUUCAGCAAUUAAUUGAAACCUCAUUCAGGUAUGGAUCCACUUACCAAGGCUAGAGUGUCAAUGGUGGAACAUGUUCACAUUACUUGAGCAGCAUGAUCUGAUGGGUAAAUUAGGGACUCUUAUUUCAUUGAUGGACAUCACCCCCCAUCCCGAUCUUGUAGAAGAAAUGUUGAUAUUUUGGGACCCACAGGGGAUGGUAUUUAAGUUUGGGGAUCUUAAGAUGACACCCACCUUAGCUGAGAUAGCCGGAUUAACUCGCUUGCCAUACCUAGACAAGGAUUUGAUUUACACAAGGGUUCAUUCAAGCACAAAGUUCCUUAAGAUCAUAGGGAUGGAUUUGGAAACCACAUGGGAUGUCUAGAUCAAUCUUGGGUACCUUUGGACUUUUUAUUCGAGAGGUUUGCUCGUCCUACUGGGUAUGAGACUUUCGUAGAUGAAUUUUCCAUAUCAUAUGACUCUUGGAAGAAGAUGCGUCCUAUGGUCUUCGCUAUUGCAUUGUUGGGUCUAUUGGUAUUUCCUUUGUAGGUUAGACAUAUUAGCACGCGCAUGGGGUCAACAGCCUUUGCACUUUUCCAUGAUAAACACAGUAGUAAGGUCACCUUGGUUCCGACAAUUUUGGCAGAAAUUUAUCGUGUUUUGACUAGGAUUCGAGAAGGUGAGAGGUUCAUUGAGGGAAGCAACUUGUUGGUGCAGCUGUGGAUGAUUGAACACUUACAUCCCACCACCAUGUUUGAGAAAGAUGUGAUUGACUGUUGUCUUAGAGAUCGAGUGAAGCGCAUCGAGCAUAGAAUGGCGUUCGAUAAGUUUGCCUUACCACUCGCAGUUUAGGCUUGGGUUGAUUACUUAGGAUCCUUGACUGAAGAGAAGAUUUUGUGGUCAUACCUUUGGAUUGACUUGGACGUGAUCUUAGCAGGAUCUCGCGUGCAAGACUUCUUGGUACUAAUUGGACUUUGGUGUACUCAACUAUAUACCCCUGCUAGAGUGAUGCGUCAGUUAGGGAGACGACAAGAAGUCCCAUGCAUUCAUGAUUCUCGUAACUUCAUUAGGGAGUUUGACACUAUGACUCACAGGGAGGUCGACAUCCAGACCUAUUGGCAACAUGCAAUGAAGAUGGGUAGAUAUACUUUAGCAGCUGACCCGCAUUCACCUGGGUAUACCUAUGAGUACUUCAUAUGGCUAUAGUCUACUCAGUAGGGGUUAGCAGGCCAUUGCCCCGACGUGCUAGAGUAGUAUUUGACGAGGAGUCCACCUCACGGAUAUUACUUAGAGAAUUGAUGGAUCAAUUUACUCAAGCAGAGGAGGCCCACGCAGCAGAGAGAGUCGGGGUCCAAGCUACAUUUCAGUCAUUGAGAUCACAGUUGGCAGGUUUGGUAGAGAACAUGGGACAACACCGUGAGUACCUUACUAGAGUCAACCUUCUAGAUGCAGGCGCGCAUUCCAGGAUUCUCAUUCCCAGCUUUGAGGUGUCCUUGCAGGGUAUAAUAUAGAGCUUAGAUUUGACCGGAUUGACAGGGCCAUCUGGAUUUUCAUCAGACCCAUCCCAGCCAGGACCGUCGCAUUUAGGAGCAGCUUGAGGAGUCAUUCUAUUUAGGUGUUUUGAGAUUGUCUUAUGUUGUCUUUUACUUUCGUAUCUUGUCUAGAGGUACUGAGUUCUUUAGGUAGUGUCAGAGUCUGUCGUAGUGUAGUUUAGUAUGUCGGGUCUUUCAUUAUCGUAAUUCCCAUUGUAUUUUAAUAUCGAAAAGUUUUUAAAUGAAAAAUCCAAAAAAGAUUUUAUUUUUA